CACGUAGGGCGCAAGCGUUGUCCGGAAUUAUUGGGCGUAAAGAGCUCGUGAGCGGUCUGUUGCGUCCGCUGUGAAAACCCAGGGCUUAACCCUGGGCUGGCAGUGGAUACGGACAGACUAGAGGUAGGUAGGGGAGAAUGGAAUUCCCGGUGUAGCGGUGAAAUGCGCAGAUAUCGGGAGGAACACCGGUGGCGAAGGCGGUUCUCUGGGCCUUACCUGACGCUGAGGAGCGAAAGCGUGGGGAGCGAACAGG
rnacentral:rRNA from 1 species